UACGAGGGGGGCAAGCGUUGUUCGGAAUUAUUGGGCGUAAAGGGUGCGUAGGCGGCGCGGUAUGUCUCUUGUGAAAUCUCCAGGCUCAACUUGGAGUCUGCAAGGGAAACUGCCGUGCUUGAGUACUGGAGAGGUGAGUGGAAUUCCCGGUGUAGCGGUGAAAUGCGUAGAUAUCUGGAGGAACACCGGUGGCGAAGGCGGCGUUCUGGACUGCAACUGACACUGAAAAACGAAAGCCAGGGGAGCAAACGGG
rnacentral:rRNA from 1 species